rnacentral:rRNA from 1 species
UACAGAGGGUGCAAGCGUUAUUCGGAAUCACUGGGCGUAAAGAGCGCGUAGGCGGUUUGGUAAGUUUGAUGUGAAAUCCCUGGACCCAAUCCAGGAACUGCAUCGAAUACUGCUAGACUUGAGUAUGGGAGAGGAGAGUGGAAUUCCUGGUGUAGAGGUGAAAUUCGUAGAUAUCAGGAGGAACAACAGAGGCGAAGGCGACUCUCUGGACCAUUACUGACGCUGAGGCGCGAAAGCGUGGGGAGCAAACAGG